rnacentral:lncRNA from 1 species
CUCGAGUGGCGGGCGGUUGGCGUAUCCCGCGCGCUGGGCCCGCACCGGGGUCGUGUGUCCUUGGGGGUCGCGGGUCUCCUCGGUUCUGCACCCUCCAGACCCUUUCCUGGCCACAGCCAGCUGUGCCACCUCCCAGAGGUGUAUUUGGCGAGUAUCUAAUCUCUGCCUCCGUUUCCUCUUCUUUAAAAUGGCAUUCCGACCUCCCUAAGAGUGGUUUUAAGAGUUCAAUAAAAUGAUUGACAACAGACCUGGCACGGGGCAGGAGACGUGCAUCAUUGAUAACAUUUGUUGUUGGGCUUCUUUUUAACUUUUCCAGAAACACAGUUCGCUGAAAGCUCCAGGGAACCUAGGAAGGGGUCAGAACUCCAGUUGUAGUGUCCCUGGCCUCUCUCGGAUCCCAGAAGGAACCCGGGCUCUACCCGAAUGCCUAGGAAUCUCCCCCCACCCGGCCCCCCACUCCUGGCUGUUGUCUGGGAUGUCCACUGGAAUUUAUGGAGGAGUUCUGAUUUCUCCCAGCCUCCUUUCCUUCCUCAACCUAGAUUUGACAAAAGCCGAGGGGAAAAGUCGGGAAUGAUCCUUUGGCCUGGCAGAAUUUAGCAUCCUUCCUUCUCCAAAUGCAAAGGUGCAUUUGGAUUUUUGUAGAGGGUCACAAAAGCUAUGUCGAUGAGCUAUGACUUUUUUUAAUAUUUAUUUUUUAGCUGUAGGUGGAUGCAAUACCUUUAUUUAUUUUUAUGUGGUGCUGACUAUUGAAUCCAGUGCCUCACACAUGCUAGGUGUGCUCUCUACCUCUGAGCCACAACUCCAGCUCAAGAAUACAGAAAAAAAAAAAAAAAAAUU